UGCCCAUAGACUUCCUGUUCACAGUGGGAGGUAGAGGUUAGUUCCCUGUUAGUUUGCCCAUAGACUUCCUGUUCACAGUGGGAGGUAGAGGUUAGUUCCCUGUUAGUUUGCCCAUAGACUUCCUGUUCACAGUGGGAGGUAGAGGUUAGUUCCCUGUUAGUUUGCCCAUAGACUUCCUGUUCACAGUGGGAGGUAGAGGUUAGUUCCCUGUUAGUUUGCCCAUAGACUUCCUGUUCACAGUGGGAGGUAGAGGUUAGUUCCCUGUUAGUUUGCCCAUAGACUUCCUGUUCACAGUGGGGAGGUAGAGGUUAGUUCCCUGUUAGUUUGCCCAUAGACUUCCUGUUCACAGUG